GACAAGCUCACAGAUGUUUCCGCUGAA
rnacentral:sRNA from 1 species